rnacentral:rRNA from 1 species
AUUGAACGCUGGCGGCAUGCUUUACACAUGCAAGUCGAACGGUAACAGGCCUUCGGGUGCUGACGAGUGGCGAACGGGUGAGUAAUGCAUCGGAACGUACCCAGAGGUGGGGGAUAACGCAGCGAAAGCUGUGCUAAUACCUCAUGUGAUCUGAGGAUGAAAGCGGGGGACCGAGCAGCAAUGUUUGGCCUCGCGCCUUUGGAGCGGCCGAUGUCGGAUUAGCUAGUUGGUGGGGUAAAGGCCUACCAAGGCGACGAUCCGUAGCUGAUCUGAGAGGACGACCAGCCACACUGGGACUGAGACACGGCCCAGACUCCUACGGGAGGCAGCAGUGGGGAAUUUUGGACAAUGGGCGCAGGCCUGAUCCAGCAAUGCCGCGUGCGGGAAGAAGGCCUUCGGGUUGUAAACCGCUUUUGGCAGGAACGAAACGGUGUCCGCUAAUACCGGGCGCUAAUGACGGUACCUGCAGAAUAAGCACCGGCUAACUACGUG